GCGAAUGCCAGUGAAUCCCAGGGCGCCCUCUCCCGCGCGUUCGUUCUCUAGCCCUCCUUCCCUGGGAGGGGUGGGAUUGGGAGUGUUCUGUUUUCAUUACUGCACCCCUUCCCCUAAAGACAAGGGGACUGCCCUCCUCCACAGCGCCUUACCUCAAACAGUGGACCGAUCUUGUUCUUCUCCAGGUUGGACACCUAAUUUGCACAUCAGGACUGCCAUGGACCAUGGUGCAAUGAAGGUGAAGACUGGAGCACUCAUCACCCAAGGGUCUCACUUUGUUGCCCAGGCUGGAGUAUAGUGCCCUGAUCACAGCUUGCUGCAACCUCAAGCUCCCAUGCUCAAGCAAUCUUCCUGCCUCAAAUUCCCAAGUAGCUGAGACCACAGGCAUGCUCCAUGACACCUGAACUCCUGAACUCAAGCAAUCCUCCUGCCUCAGCCUUCCAAAGUGCUGGGAUUACAGGCACGAGCCACUGAACCCUGCCUACCCUCUGUUUCUAUGUGGUAUUUGUCUUUCUAAGCCUGGCCUAUUUCAUGUAACAUAAUUUCCUCCAGAUUCAUCCAUAUUGUCUCAAAUGACCAGAUUUCUUUCUUUUUUAAGGCUGAAUAGUAUUCCAUUGUGUAUAUAUACCACAUUUUCUUUAUCCAUUCAUCUGUUGAUGGACACUUAGGUUGAUUCCAUAUCUUGGCUAUUGUGAAUAAGCUGCAAUGAACAUAGGAGUGCAGAUACUGCUUUGACAUAUUCAUUUCAUUUUCUUUGGAUAUGUAUCCAGAAGUGGAACUGGGCUGGAAUAUAGGCAGUUCUAUUUUUAGUAUUUUGAGGAAACUCCAUAUUACUUUCCAUAAUAGCUGUGCUAAUUUACAUUCCCACCGCCAAUGUGUAAGUGCUUGCUUUUCUCCACAUCCUCUCCAACACUGGUUAUCUCUUGUCUUUUUGAUAUGUUUUCUCUUCUCUGUAAAGCUAUUGAUUGUAGCAUUUUAGUUUUUCCAAAUUUUUUUAAUCAAACUUUUGAAACAUAUACCUGAAAUGAAAGAAUUUUAGCAUGAAUGCUAAUAUACACCCAGCACCUAUAUUCUUGCUUUUUCAUGUAUUUACUCCUGAAUUAAUAUGCUUUUUAUAAAAAUUACUUUUUAUAUGCUUUUUAUAUGCUUUUUAUAAAAAUUACUUUUUAUAUGCUUUUUAAAGUAAACUGCAAACAACUGCAUGCUUCUCCUAGAUCUUUCCACAUGCUCUGCCAUUAAUUAGAGUUCAAUGUUCAAUUUUUUCCUUUUGAUGUACAAUUAAUACACAAUUAAUUUACACACACAGUUUACUUAGUUCUGAAAAAUGUAUAUACUUUUAUAACUCAAAGCCCAUCAUUAUAGAACAUUACUAUCACCCUAGCAAAAUCUUUCGUGUCCCUUCUCAAUCACCAAUCCUGACCACACCCCAGGAAAACUACUGUUCAAAUUAUUCUCCAUCAUUGAUUGGCUUUGACUGUUUUAGAACUUCAUAAAAAUAAAAUACUGUAGUAAAUUAUGUACAAUUUUACGACUAGCUUCCUUUGCUCAACAUAAUGUUUUCGAGAUUUAUUCAUAUUGCUGCAUGUCAAUAGUUGGUUCUUUUUAAUGCUGCAUAUUUCAUUGAAUAAAAAUGCCAAAGCUUGUUUAUUCA
rnacentral:antisense_RNA from 1 species